GCCUCACUCAGCCAGGGGCACCACACGCCGUCGCUCGCAGUCUCGCAUGCGCCCCACCGCCCUUGCACGCCGCCGCUCCGGCCUCACGACUCGCGCAUCUCGCCUGUCGCCUCGGCUCCGGCCUCCCUCCUCUCAGUCCUCUGCUCGCUGUCUUGACCGCACCCAGAUGACCACACGUGCUCGGCGCUCGCAGCUUAGCUGUUCGCCCCUCGCGGUGGCCAGGGGGCCCUCGGUUGCUCGCCCCUCACAACGUCGGACCUCGGACUCGGCGGAGCCGUGGAGGCCAAACCAGGGGCGGCCUACGGUCAUAGGCCAGAGCCCCAAAGGCACAGGUGCUCGUCUCUACCGAAGCCUGUCCGGUCGUCCGGGUGCCCAGUAAAGGUACGUAUUCUUUCUAUUGUAGCUCAGUUCUUAUUUUCUUUUGAUUUCAAUUACUAAUUGUGAAAUUUUGAUUCCAAUUAGAUGAAGAGGACAAGGACUAUUGCAUCGUAUUUCUCUCGAAUAGAACAAAUCUUUACUAGACAGUAGGUAUUUAUUUUUCAAUGUUCAUUGAUAUUUUGUAGCUAUUGUAUCGUACUAUUAAUUAUAUAGUUCAAGAAUUUUUUCGGAUUUGCAAAUUUUGCUUGAGAAUUUUUAUUUUCUAUGAUAUAUGUGUAUAUAUAUAUAUGGUCCAAUAAACU
rnacentral:lncRNA from 1 species